rnacentral:rRNA from 1 species
AUUGAACGCUGGCGGCAUGCCUUACACAUGCAAGUCGAACGGUAACAGGUCUUCGGAUGCUGGCGAGUGGCGAACGGGUGAGUAAUACAUCGGAACGUGCCUAGUAGUGGGGGAUAACUACUCGAAAGAGUGGCUAAUACCGCAUGAGAUCUACGGAUGAAAGCAGGGGAUCGCAAGACCUUGUGCUACUAGAGCGGCCGAUGGCAGAUUAGGUAGUUGGUGGGAUAAAAGCUUACCAAGCCGACGAUCUGUAGCUGGUCUGAGGGGACGAUCAGCCACACUGGGACUGAGACACGGCCCAGACUCCUACGGGAGGCAGCAGUGGGGAAUUUUGGACAAUGGGCGAGAGCCUGAUCCAGCAAUGCCGCGUGCAGGAUGAAGGCCUUCGGGUUGUAAACUGCUUUUGUACGGAACGAAAAGCCCCGGGUUAAUACCCUGGGGUCAUGACGGUACCGUAAGAAUAAGCACCGGCUAACUACGUGCCAGCCGCCGCCGGUAA